GACGAACGCUGGCGGCGUGCUUAACACAUGCAAGUCGAACGGAAAGGCCCUGCUUUUGUGGGGUGCUCGAGUGGCGAACGGGUGAGUAACACGUGAGUAACCUGCCCUUGACUUUGGGAUAACUUCAGGAAACUGGGGCUAAUACCGGAUAGGAGCUCCUGCGGCAUGGUGGGGGUUGGAAGGUUUCGGCGGUUGGGGAUGGACUCGCGGCUUAUCAGCUUGUUGGUGGGGUAGUGGCUUACCAAGGCUUUGACGGGUAGCCGGCCUGAGAGGGUGACCGGCCACAUUGGGACUGAGAUACGGCCCAGACUCCUACGGGAGGCAGCAGUGGGGAAUAUUGCACAAUGGGCGGAAGCCUGAUGCAGCAACGCCGCGUGCGGGAUGACGGCCUUCGGGUUGUAAACCGCUUUCGCCUGUGACGAAGCGUGAGUGACGGUAAUGGGUAAAGAAGCACCGGCUAACUACGUG
rnacentral:rRNA from 1 species